UACGGAGGGGGCUAGCGUUGUUCGGAAUUACUGGGCGUAAAGCGCACGUAGGCGGCUUUGUAAGUUAGAGGUGAAAGCCCGGGGCUCAACUCCGGAAUUGCCUUUAAGACUGCAUCGCUAGAAUUGUGGAGAGGUAAGUGGAAUUCCGAGUGUAGAGGUGAAAUUCGUAGAUAUUCGGAAGAACACCGGUGGCGAAGGCGGCUCACUGGACUGGUAUUGACGCUGAGGUGCGAAAGCGUGGGGAGCAAACAGG
rnacentral:rRNA from 1 species